rnacentral:rRNA from 1 species
CCAGACUCCUACGGGAGGCAGCAGUGAGGAAUAUUGGUCAAUGGGCGAGAGCCUGAACCAGCCAAGUCGCGUGAAGGAUGACGGCCCUACGGGUUGUAAACUUCUUUUGUCAGGGAGCAAUUGGGUCCACGCGUGGGCUUAGCGAGAGUACCUGAAGAAAAAGCAUCGGCUAACUCCGUGCCAGCAGCCGCGGUAAUACGGAGGAUGCGAGCGUUAUCCGGAUUUAUUGGGUUUAAAGGGUGCGCAGGCGGGGAGUUAAACCGGGGGUAAAAUGGCGGGGCUCAACCCCGCCAAGCCGUUGAAACUGGCUUGCUAGAGUGGGCGAGAAGUAUGCGGAAUGCGUGGUGUAGCGGUGAAAUGCAUAGAUAUCACGCAGAACUCCGAUUGCGAAGGCAGCAUACCGGCGCCCAACUGACGCUCAGGCACGAAAGCGUGGGUAUCGAACAGGAUUAGAUACCCGAGUAGA